rnacentral:rRNA from 1 species
GAACGGGUGAGUAACACGUGGAUAACCUGCCUCAAGGCUGGGGAUAACAUUUGGAAACAGAUGCUAAUACCGAAUAAAACUUAGUAUCGCAUGAUAUCAAGUUAAAAGGCGCUACGGCGUCACCUAGAGAUGGAUCCGCGGUGCAUUAGUUAGUUGGUGGGGUAAAGGCUUACCAAGACGAUGAUGCAUAGCCGAGUUGAGAGACUGAUCGGCCACAUUGGGACUGAGACACGGCCCAAACUCCUACGGGAGGCUGCAGUAGGGAAUCUUCCACAAUGGGCGCAAGCCUGAUGGAGCAACGCCGCGUGUGUGAUGAAGGCUUUCGGGUCGUAAAGCACUGUUGUAUGGGAAGAAAUGCUAAAAUAGGGAAUGAUUCUAGUUUGACGGUACCAUACCAGAAAGGGACGGCUAAAUACGUGCCAGCAGCCGCGGUAAUACGUAUGUCCCGAGCGUUAUCCGGAUUUAUUGGGCGUAAAGCGAGCGCAGACGGUUGAUUAAGUCUGAUGUGAAAGCCCGGAGCUCAACUCCGGAAUGGCAUGGGAAACUGGUUAACUUGAGUGUUGUAGAGGUAAGUGGAACUCCAUGUGUAGCGGUGGAAUGCGUAGAUAUAUGGAAGAACACCAGUGGCGAAGGCGGCUUACUGGACAACAACUGACGUUGAGGCUCGAAAGUGUGGGUAGCAAACAGGAUUAGAUACCCUGGUAGUCCACACCGUAAACGAUGAAUACUAGGUGUUAGGAGGUUUCCGCCUCUUAGUGCCGAAG